rnacentral:rRNA from 1 species
AGAGUUUGAUCCUGGCUUAGGAUGAACGCUAGCUACAGGCUAACACAUGCAAGUCGAGGGCAGCAUGAAGUCAGCUUGCUGACUUGAUGGCGACCGGCGCACGGGUGCGUAACACGUAUCCAAUCUACCCAUGGCUCAGGGAUAGACCUUUCGAAAGAAAGAUUAAUACCUGAUGGUCUUACCAAAGGACAUCCUUUAGUAAGUAAAGAUUUAUCGGCGAUGGAUGGGGAUGCGUCCGAUUAGCUAGUUGGCGGGGUAACGGCCCACCAAGGCGACGAUCGGUAGGGGUUCUGAGAGGAAGGUCCCCCACACUGGAACUGAGACACGGUCCAGACUCCUACGGGAGGCAGCAGUGAGGAAUAUUGGUCAAUGGGCGAAGGCCUGAACCAGCCAAGUAAGCGUGAGGGAGGACGGCCCUACGGGUUGUAAACCUCUUUUGUUCGGGAAUAAAGGCAUCCACGCGUGGGUGUUUGUAUGUACCUUACGAAUAAGCAUCGGCUAAUUCCGUGCCAGCCGCUGC